GAUGAACGCUGGCGGCGUGCCUAAUACAUGCCAGUCGAGCGAACAGACGAGGAGCUUGCUCCUUCGACGUUAGCGGCGGACGGGUGAGUAACACGUAGAUAACCUACCUAUAAGACUGGGAUAACUUCGGGAAACCGGAGCUAAUACCGGAUAAUAUUUCGAACCGCAUGGUUCGAUAGUGAAAGAUGGCUUUGCUAUCACUUAUAGAUGGAUCUGCGCCGUAUUAGCUAGUUGGUAAGGUAACGGCUUACCAAGGCAACGAUGCGUAGCCGACCUGAGAGGGUGAUCGGCCACACGGGAACUGAGACACGGUCCAGACUCCUACGGGAGGCAGCAGUAGGGAAUCUUCCGCAAUGGGCGAAAGCCUGACGGAGCAACGCCGCGUGAGUGAUGAAGGUCUUCGGAUCGUAAAACUCUGUUAUUAGGGAAGAACAAACGUGUAAGUAACUGUGCACGUCUUGACGGUACCUAAUCAGAAAGCCACGGCUAACUACGUG
rnacentral:rRNA from 1 species